rnacentral:lncRNA from 1 species
CAAAUCCAAGAUGGCGGUACAACAGGGCAAAAAGACUAUAGAUUCUAUUACGAAAAUCAGGAUUUUUGCACUUUUUGCCGUCGCAUUGUUUUGAAACUUAUUCGGUCAAACUUUAUGGUAAAGAGAAACUUACCGCGAAGAUUUUGAGCAUAUAUAUGAUUGAAUUGGAUGAAAAAUCGCAAAAUUAUCCAGCGAUAAAAGUUCGUGUAUAGUACUGAUAUAGUACUAUAUAUGUAACUUGUACAGUUUUGCUUUAAUUUUUGCUCAC